GAUUAACGCUGGCGGCGUGCAUAACACAUGCAAGUCGAACGAUGAAACUUAACUGAUUUCUUCGGAAUGAUUUUAAGUGGAUUAGUGGCGGACGGGUGAGUAACGCGUGAGUAACCUGCCUUGGAGAAGGGGAUAGCCUUUGGAAACGAAGAAUAAUACCCUAUGAUAUGAUAAUAUCUCAUGAUAUUAUCAUCAAAGAUUUAUCGCUCUAAGAUGGACUUGCGUCUGAUUAGUUAGUUGGUGAGGUAACAGCUCACCAAGGCAGCGAUCAGUAGCCGGCUUGAGAGAGUGUACGGCCGCAUUGGGACUGAGACACGGCCCAGACUCCUACGGGAGGCAGCAGUGGGGAAUUUUGCACAAUGGGGGAAACCCUGAUGCAGCGACGCCGCGUGAUUUAGAAGGCCUUCGGGUUGUAAAAAUCUUUUGUAUGGGAAGAAAAUGACAGUACCAUACGAAUAAGGACCGGCUAAUUACGUG
rnacentral:rRNA from 1 species